rnacentral:rRNA from 1 species
CGUAAACGAUGAGUGCUAAGUGUUAGAGGGUUUCCGCCCUUUAGUGCUGAAGUUAACGCAUUAAGCACUCCGCCUGGGGAGUACGGCCGCAAGGCUGAAACUCAAAGGAAUUGACGGGGGCCCGCACAAGCGGUGGAGCAUGUGGUUUAAUUCGAAGCAACGCGAAGAACCUUACCAGGUCUUGACAUCCUCUGAAAACCCUAGAGAUAGGGCUUCUCCUUCGGGAGCAGAGUGACAGGUGGUGCAUGGUUGUCGUCAGCUCGUGUCGUGAGAUGUUGGGUUAAGUCCCGCAACGAGCGCAACCCUUGAUCUUAGUUGCCAUCAUUAAGUUGGGCACUCUAAGGUGACUGCCGGUGACAAACCGGAGGAAGGUGGGGAUGACGUCAAAUCAUCAUGCCCCUUAUGACCUGGGCUACACACGUGCUACAAUGGACGGUACAAAGAGCUGCAAGACCGCGAGGUGGAGCUAAUCUCAUAAAACCGUUCUCAGUUCGGAUUGUAGGCUGCAACUCGCCUCAUGAAGCUGGA